CAGUAGCCGCGGUAAUACGAAGGGGGCUAGCGUUGCUCGGAAUUACUGGGCGUAAAGGGAGCGUAGGCGGAUCGUUUAGUUGGGGGUGAAAUCCCGGGGCUCAACCUCGGAACUGCCUUCAAUACUGGCGAUCUUGAGUAUGGGAGAGGUGAGUGGAACUCCGAGUGUAGAGGUGAAAUUCGUAGAUAUUCGGAAGAACACCAGUGGCGAAGGCGACUCACUGGCCCAUUACUGACGCUGAGGCUCGAAAGCGUGGGGAGCAAACAGGAUUAGAUACCCCUGUAGUCCCUGUCUCUUAUAC
rnacentral:rRNA from 1 species